GGGAGUUGUCCAGGAGGUCACGGCCCCAUUCCGGAGGCGGGAGGCAUUCCCUCCCCAGCACAGUGUUGCCCGCAGCCUGGGUGGCCUGCAGAUCCCUCCUGGGAGCCGGGCUGAGGCCGGGGAGAUGAGUGGGAGGAGACAGGACACGAAGGCCAGAGCAAUGCUCAAGUACACUCAGGCUGGUCAUCUAAGUCCUUGCGGGCCGCCCUGUUCAAAUUCUGUGGAGACUAAGGACCAGGUGCAUUGGCUUGCGUUAGACCACCGUCUUGUGUAUUGGGCGAUGAUGCUGGAUCUUGAAAAGACAAGUUUUCAACAGAAGAGGAAGGACAAAAGGCCAGUGAAAGAUCUGUAAAGGCUUCUACUUUUUGUGAGGUACUCCUGCAGUUCAAACAACAUAUGUGAGUUCGUAGUUUUCCUCCAAACAUUGUUUCUAUUAAAGUCUUCUCACCAUCACUUGUGCAAGGGUUCUCUGUUAGCACAGCUGCCUUACUGGCUACUUCCUGUAAAGAAGUUUCAUUGCACCCCAGACUUUCAGAAGGCUUGUGUGAGGACUGAACUUUCAAGAUCUUUUCUUCUUCAUGUAGCCUGCAGGAGAGUAUAUCAUUAUACAGCUGUUUCAUUUACAUUUCAAUGUCAUUGCUAUUUAAAAAUACUGGUGGUUUAUACAUAAAAAUAAAAAUAUUGGUGGCUUAUAUGAAUAGCCAAAUUACUUUUAUCAAAUAGAAUGCUUAAUUUAAAAAAUCAAGUUUCUCCUCUUUUAAUCAAGAGGAAUAUGGAAUAAUGUAAGAAUGAGGACUAGAAGUUAGGGGCUAUCACUACUAUAUAGCCUCAUACUUUCUCCAUACUAUUUUAUAGCACUUAUUACAUGAUAGUGAUAUAUGCUCAUUAAUUAUGUUAUAUUAUCUUUGCCUCACAUCUCAGACAAGCCUGGUACAAAGAAGUCACCCAACAUGUCCUUAGCUGAAUCAAAGGAAGAUUGCUUAUGUUAAGUUCAAGUAACCUUACUAGUCAUUCAUGUAACAGCAGGGAGGCAAAGAUCUAGAGAAGAAGAUAAAGGUUUUAUUAAGUAAGUGGCAAAGAGACAAUAAAAUAUACUAAACUCAUCUGGUUACAAAGUGGUCUAAAGGAGCAACUAUUAAAUUUUUUGGUCUCAGGAUACCCUUAUGCUCUUAAAGUAACUGAAGAAAAUUGAGGAACCCAACAGCUUUCAUUCAUGUGGCUAUAUCCAUCAAUAUUUACUAUAUUCAAAAAUUGAGAAUAAUAGUAAUAAAAUAAUACAUCUAAAAACAAAAAUAAACCAAUUACAUGUUAAUGUUCAUAAUAUUCAUUAUGAAAGUUAUAUUUUCUAAAACUAAAAAAUUUAGUGAGAAGAAUGUCAUUGUUUUACAUUUUGCAAAUAUUUUAAGUAUCUGGCUUAAUAGAAUACAGCUGGAUCCUCAUAGCUGCUCUGUGUUUAAUAUAUUGUGGUAUGUUUUUCUGGAUGAAACAUAUGAAGAA